UACGUAGGGGGCAAGCGUUGUCCGGAUUCAUUGGGCGUAAAGAGCUCGUAGGCGGUUCGGCAAGUCGGGUGUGAAAACUCCAGGCUCAACCUGGAGACGCCACCCGAUACUGCUGUGACUUGAGUCCGGUAGGGGACCACGGAAUUCCUGGUGUAGCGGUGAAAUGUGUAGAGAUCGGGAGGAACACCGGUGGCGAAGGCGGGUCUCUGGGCAUUUCCUGACGCUGAGGCGCGAAAGCGUGGGGAGCAAACGGG
rnacentral:rRNA from 1 species